rnacentral:lncRNA from 12 species
GCCAAACCACUGACUGCUCCUCUGUGCCAUGGAGGAGCAGCAUGGAGCUCUGCUCCAUCCUCUCCACCAGCACCUGGCAGACCAGCAGGACCAGGGCUGGGAAGAGUAGAGGGACCCCAGUAUUUACAGGACUGCAAGAGGUGACAGCUAUGGAGCAGGAAAAAAGGAAACUCUUUGAAAUGCAAGGGGCUGGGUUUUCCAAAGAUCCAGGAGCUGAAUUUCUUGCCAUUUGCUGUCUACAGGCUGAGACAGAUUUUCCAGUUAAUUCAGCCAGCAGCACUGGAUGUCUCUCACCAGGACAGUGAUAUCCUACUC